rnacentral:rRNA from 1 species
UACGUAGGGGGCAAGCGUUGUCCGGAAUCAUUGGGCGUAAAGCGCGCGUAGGCGGCCCGGUAAGUCCGUUGUGAAAGUCAAAGGCUCAACCUUUGAACGCCGAUGGAUACUGCCGGGCUAGAGUCCGGAAGAGGCGAGUGGAAUUCCUGGUGUAGCGGUGAAAUGCGCAGAUAUCAGGAAGAACACCCGUGGCUAAGGCGGCUCUCUAGUACGGUACUGACGCUGAGACGCGAAAGCGUGGGGAGCGAACAGG